CGCACAGGUACCGGCAUGGGUAUAGUGUGAAAAACUCCGGUGGUAUAAGAUGGACCCGCGUUUGAUUAGCUGGUUGGUGGGGUAACGGCCUACCAAGGCGACGAUCAGUAGCCGGACUGAGAGGUUGACCCGGCCACAUUGGGACUGAGAUACGGCCCAGACUCCUACGGGAGGCAGCAGUGGGAAUAUUGGGCAAUGGGCGAAAGCCUGACCCAGCAACGCCGCGUGAAGGAAGAAGGCCUUCGGGGUUGUAAACUUCUUUUACCAGGGACGAACACAAUGACGGUACCUGGAGAAAAAGCAACGGCUAACUACCGUG
rnacentral:rRNA from 1 species